CCAUCAUCACCAUCACCCUGACUAGUCUUUCAGGCGAUUGGUGCUGGAAGACGUUCAGAUCUUCCAGUGGCGCAGAACUUAAAGAGAGCCCUCGGAAGAUCGACUUCCGAGGGUUUUUUUUA
rfam:Brenneria sp. EniD312 chromosome, whole genome shotgun sequence.